AUCAAGCUGACUAGUCCCAAAUAGAACGAAACACGUGUCCUGGAU
rnacentral:hammerhead_ribozyme from 1 species